GCUUGUCUCAAAGAUUAAGCCAUGCAUGUCUAAGUAUAAGCAAUUUGUACUGUGAAACUGCGAAUGGCUCAUUAAAUCAGUUAUAGUUUAUUUGAUCUUACCUUACUACUUGGAUAACCGUGGUAAUUCUAGAGCUAAUACAUGCAAAAAUGGGCGACUUUGUGGAAGGGUUGUGUUUAUUAGUUACAGAACCAACCCAGGCUCUGCCUGGUCUUGUGGUGAUUCAUAAUAACCGAACGAAUCGUAUGGCAUCAGCUGGCGAUGAAUCAUUCAAGUUUCUGACCUAUCAGCUUCCGACGGUAGGGUAUUGGCCUACCGUGGCAAUGACGGGUAACGGAGAAUUAGGGUUCGAUUCCGGAGAGGGAGCCUGAGAAACGGCUACCACAUCUAAGGAAGGCAGCAGG
rnacentral:rRNA from 1 species